AAAGGACUUGAUUGCAUUGAGUUUGUGAUCUAAGACUUGGAUUUGAGCAAGGCAAUGAUAUAUGAUGGUUGGUUCCUGAGCCGUGGAGGGCUCGUGACGAAGGAAGGGCUUGUAGUACUUACUCAUGCGAAUGGAUGGCUUAUAUUUUGUACAAUUUUGAUUUGGAAUUUCCUCUGUAUAAUAGUUGGUAUCAAGGAUCGGAGUGGCGCAGCGGAAGCGUGGACGCUUCGCUUAUGACAUGUAAUUCUUGGGGAAUUUGAUGUAAUAUUUGGGAUUUAUAUUGCAAUUUAAUUGAGGACUGUAGUGAACGACUAA